GCCGGGCAUGGUGCUGUGUGCCUGUAAUCCCAGCUACUCAGGAGGCUGAGGCAGGAGAGUCGCUUGAACCCAGGAGUCAGAGGUUGCAGUGAGCCGAGAUUGUGCCCACUGCACUCCAGCCUGGGUGACAAAGUGAGACUCCGUCUCAA
ensembl:misc_RNA Metazoa_SRP Metazoan signal recognition particle RNA